UGGGGAAUAUUGCACAAUGGGCGCAAGCCUGAUGCAGCCAUGCCGCGUGUAUGAAGAAGGCCUUCGGGUUGUAAAGUACUUUCAGCGAGGAGGAAGGCGUUGUGGUUAAUAACCGCAGCGAUUGACGUUACUCGCAGAAGAAGCACCGGCUAACUCCGUGCCAGCAGCCGCGGUAAUACGGAGGGUGCACGCGUUAAUCGGAAUUACUGGGUGUAAAGCGCACGCAGGCGGUCUGUCAAGUCGGAUGUGAAAUCCCCGGGCUCAACCUGGGAACUGCAUCCGAAACUGGCAGGCUAGAGUCUUGUAGAGGGGGGUAGAAUUCCAGGUGUAGCGGUGAAAUGCGUAGAGAUCUGGAGGAAUACCGGUGGCGAAGGCGGCCCCCUGGACAAAGACUGACGCUCAGGUGCGAAAGCGUGGGGAGCAAACA
rnacentral:rRNA from 1 species